CUCAAACGACUCUCGGCAACGGAUAUCUCGGCUCUUGCAUCGAUGAAGAACGUAGCGAAAUGCGAUACUUGGUGUGAAUUGCAGAAUCCCGUGAACCAUCGAGUCUUUGAACGCAAGUUGCGCCCGAGGCCAUUAGGUCGAGGGCACGUCUGCCUGGGCGUCAC
rnacentral:rRNA from 4 species